GGAAGGAUCAUUAUUGAAAUAAACCUGAUGAGUUGUUGCUGGCUCUCUAGGGAGCAUUGUGCACACUUGUCAUCUUUAUAUCUCCACCUGUGCACCUUUUGUAGACCUGGAUAUCUCUCUGAUGCUUGCUUUAGUUAGUAACUCAGGUUUGAGGAUUGACUUGAUUGUCUCUUCCUUACAUUUCUAGGCCUAUGUUUCUUCAUAUACCCUAAUAUAUGUUAUAGAAUGUAAUAAAUGGGCCUUUGUGCCUAUAAAUUUAUACAACUUUCAGCAACGGAUCUCUUGGCUCUCGCAUCGAUGAAGAACGCAGCGAAAUGCGAUAAGUAAUGUGAAUUGCAGAAUUCAGUGAAUCAUCGAAUCUUUGAACGCACCUUGCGCUCCUUGGUAUUCCGAGGAGCAUGCCUGUUUGAGUGUCAUUUAUAUAUCAACCUCUUCCAACUUUUUUGUUUGUUUGUCGAGUGUUGGAUGUGGGGGCUCUUUUUGUGCUGGCCUCUCUCUAAAGGUCAGCUCCCCUGAAAUACAUUAGCAGAACAUCUUGUGGAACUGUUCAUUGGUGUGAUAAUUAUCUACGCCAUUGAAUGUGAAGCAGUUCAGCUUCUUAAUAGUCCAUUGACUUGGACAAAUUUCAUUAAUGUGACCUCAAAUCAGGUAGGACUACCCGCUGAACUUAAGCAUAUCAAUAAGCGGAGGAAAAGAAACUAACAAGGAUUCCCCUAGUAACUGCGAGUGAAGCGGGAAAAGCUCAAAUUUAAAAUCUGGCAGUCUUUGAUUGUCCGAGUUGUAAUCUAGAGAAGCAUUAUCCGCGUUGGACCGUGUACAAGUCUCCUGGAAUGGAGCGUCAUAGAGGGUGAGAAUCCCGUCUUUGACACGGACUGCCAGGGCUUUGUGAUGUGCUCUCAAAGAGUCGAGUUGUUUGGGAAUGCAGCUCAAAAUGGGUGGUAAAUUCCAUCUAAAGCUAAAUAUUGGC
rnacentral:rRNA from 1 species